UGCGCUAGCACCCUCCGGCGCCGGCCGCCCAGGGGUGGUGGGAAGGGAGGAGCGGGAGCGACAGGGCCCGGCUGCCGGGCGCCGGCCCGGGCGCAGAGCGGCAUGUAGCUGUGGGCUCCCGCGCCCGCGCGAGGGUGUCGGCCCGGGGCCCCGCCAUGGCUGGGAAGGACAGCGGCAACCUGAAGACGGUGAGGCUGUGGCGGGACGCCGCCCUGCGCGCCAGGAAGCUGCGGAGCAACCUGCGCCAGCUCACCCUCAGCGCGGCCGGGGGCUGCCCCGGGGCCGGAGCCGACCCGCUCGAGUCCCCCGACACCCCCCAGCUCGUGCUGCCGGCCACCAUCGGCGACAUUGAGGUGCUGAACCUGGGGAACAACGGCCUGGAGGAGGUGCCCGACGGGCUGGGGUCGGCGCUGGGCAGCCUGCGCGUCCUGGUCCUGCGCAGGAACCGCUUCGGCCGGCUGCCCUCGGCGGUGGCCGAGCUCGGCCACCACCUCACCGAGCUGGACGUGAGCCAUAACCGGCUGACCGCCCUGGGCGCCGAGGUGGUGAGUGCUCUAAGGGAGCUGCGCAAGCUCAACCUCAGCCACAACCAGCUGCCCGCCCUGCCCGCCCAGCUGGGCGCCCUCGCCCACCUGGAGGAGCUGGAUGUCAGCUUUAACCGGCUGGCGCACCUGCCUGACUCCCUGUCCUGCCUCUACCGCCUGCGCACCCUCGACGUGGACCACAACCAGCUCACCGCCUUUCCCCGGCAGCUGCUGCAGCUGGCGGCCCUGGAGGAGCUGGACGUGUCUAGCAACCGGCUGCGGGGUCUGCCUGAGGAUAUCAGUGCCCUGCGUGCCCUCAAGAUCCUCUGGCUGAGUGGGGCCGAGCUGGGCACCCUGCCCAGCGGCUUCUGCGAGCUGGCCAGUUUGGAGAGUCUCAUGCUAGACAACAACGGGCUGCAGGCUCUGCCCGCCCAGUUCAGCAGCCUGCAACGGCUCAAAAUGCUCAACCUCUCGUCUAACCUCUUCGAGGAGUUCCCUGCCGCGCUGCUGCCCCUGGCUGGCCUGGAGGAGCUCUACCUGAGUCGCAACCAGCUCACGUCAGUGCCAUCCCUUAUCUCGGGGCUGGGCCGGCUGCUCACCCUGUGGCUGGACAACAACCGCAUCCGCUACCUGCCGGACUCCAUUGUGGAGCUGACCGGCCUGGAGGAGCUCGUGCUGCAAGGCAACCAGAUCGCCGUGCUGCCGGACAACUUUGGCCAGCUCUCCCACGUGGGCCUGUGGAAGAUCAAGGACAACCCACUGAUCCAGCCCCCCUACGAGGUCUGUAUGAAGGGGAUCCCCUACAUCGCAGCCUACCAGAAGGAGCUGGCUCACUCCCAGCCCGCCGUGCAGCCCCGCCUCAAGCUGCUCCUGAUGGGCCAUAAGGGUGCGGGAAAGACCCUGCUCCGACACUGCCUCACUGAGGAGAGGGUGGAGGGAAGCCAAGGAGGAGGGGACAAGGACCAGAGCUACGCACCUUCCCCUGCCCCCGGGAGCAAGGGCAUCGAGGUGACUAGCUGGACGGCCGACGCCUCCCGGGGCCUGCGGUUCAUCGUGUACGACCUGGCUGGUGAUGAAAGUUACGAGGUGAUCCAGCCCUUCUUUCUCUCCCCAGGGGCCCUGUAUGUACUAGUGGUCAACUUGGCAACCUAUGAGCCGCGCCGCUUUCCCACCGCCGUGGGCUCCUUUUUGCAUCGGGUGGGGGCGCGGGUGCCUCAUGCCGUGGUGUGCAUCGUGGGCACGCACGCAGACCUGUGCGGGGAGCGGGAGCUGGAGGAAAAGUGUCUGGACAUUCACCGCCAGAUAGCCCUGCAGGAAAAGCACGAUGCGGAGGGGCUGAGCCGUCUAGCUCAGGUGGUCGACGAGGCACUGGCCCGGGACUUUGAGCUGCGCUCUGCCAGCCCCCAUGCAGCCUACUAUGGUGUUUCAGACAAGAACCUUCGCAGGCGCAAGGCCCAUUUUCAGUACCUGCUUAACCACAGGCUGCAGAUCCUCUCCCCGGUGUUGCCUGUUAGCUGCAGGGACCCCCGCCAAUUGCAACGCCUUCGGGACAAGCUCCUCUCGGUAGCUGAGCACCGAGAAAUCUUCCCCAACUUACACAGAGUACUGCCUCGAUCCUGGCAGGUGCUGGAGGAACUGCAUUUCCAGCCACCACAGGCACAGCGACUUUGGCUGAGCUGGUGGGACUCGGCGCGCUUGGGCCUGCAGGCGGGUCUGACCGAGGACCGACUGCAGAGUGCCCUUUCCUACCUGCAUGAGAGCGGCAAGCUGCUCUACUUUGAGGACAGCCCAGCCCUCAAAGAGCACGUCUUCCACAAUCUCACCCGCCUCAUCGACAUCCUCAAUGUCUUCUUCCAGAGGGAUGCUUCCUUGCUGCUGCAUAAACUACUCCUAGGGACCAGUGGAGAGGGUGAGGGGGAAAGCUCCCCAGUGAUGGCGCUUCCCACCCCGAGCCAGGACCUGCUCCCUGCCACCCAGCUCCAUCAUUAUGUGGAGGGAUUUCUGCUGCAUGGGCUCUUGCCAGCCCAUGUCAUUCGGUUGCUGCUUAAGCCUCACGUCCAGGCCCAGCAGGACUUGCAGCUGCUGCUGGAGCUGCUGGAGAAGAUGGGACUCUGUUAUUGCCUCAAUAAACCCAAGGGCAAGCCUUUGAAUGGGUCCACGGCCUGGUACAAGUUUCCAUGCUACGUGCAGAACGAGGUGCCCCAUGCAGAGGCCUGGAUUAAUGGGACCAACCUAUCUGGGCAGUCUUUUGUGGCUGAGCAGUUGCAGAUUGAAUAUUGUUUUCCUUUUACCUUUCCACCUGGGUUGUUUGCACGCUACAGUGUCCAGAUCAACAGCCAUGUGGUGCACAGGUCGGAUGGUAAAUUUCAGAUCUUUGCAUAUAGAGGGAAAGUUCCUGUGGUGGUGAGUUACAGACCUGCCAAGGGGGUCCUGCAGCCAGACACCCUCUCCAUUGCCAGCCAUGCAUCAUUACCAAAUAUAUGGACCGCAUGGCAAGCCAUAACCCCCUUGGUAGAGGAACUGAAUGUCCUUCUUCAGGAAUGGCCUGGACUGCACUACACCGUGCACAUUCUCUGUUCUAAGUGCCUUAAGAGAGGGUCGCCCAAUCCACAUGCUUUCCCAGGGGAGUUGCUGAGUCAGCCCAGACCAGAAGGAGUGGCAGAGAUCAUUUGCCCCAAGAACGGCAGCGAGCGAGUGAAUGUUGCCUUGGUUUACCCACCUACGCCAACUGUGAUCAGCCCCUGUUCCAAGUAUCUUCAUACUUUCUUGGAAAAUUAAGUGGAAAAGAUAGUGCUUCUUUUCCUUAUGCCAUCAUUUUUACUGUACCCAAUCUGUGACUUUAGGAGCACCAGUUUUUAAGGGAAGAACGUUGGUGAAAAGCACAGAAACCAGUGACUUUCGUGGCUGUGGACUUUCCAUGGAGUCAAGAGCAUCAGAACUCACCUGGGCCGUCUUUCGUACCUCCACAUCCCAAGCGUGUUCUGUGAACUUGAGUGCAAAAGCAUUCAGGUGCUGUCCGAGGACUGUUGAAGAGGUGGGGGGGGGAGGGGGGAGAGAAUAUGGAGCAAAUGUUUUACAACCGGAACCUCAGAACUGAUCCUCCAAGGAGAGCGCUACUUGAAGAAAAGGAAAAAAAAGUCGAAUGGCUUCUCAGGGAUUUUGUUUUCCAUGCACAUAUAAGCCAUAGUUACAGUACAGGUGGCAGUAUUUAGAGCACUCAGAUUUCAGUUCUGUUCAAUGUGAAAGAGGGAUCGACUGACGUUCAUUGCUGUUCCGUAACUAGUGUAAAAUAUGUAUAUGUUUAUCUUUAUUUUUAUAAUAUGCAAAUACAUUUAAAUUUAUACCGUUUGAAGCUUCUAGCGUUAGUUAACACUGGGUGCAAUAUUCUGCAUGAGAACUGUGCCAAGAUGGGGCUGAUUCCUAAUUUUAGUGUAAGACUUCUUGAUUUUUUUUUAAUUCAUUCUUUAAUCUUCCUCCAAUGUUUUUUAAAAAGGUAUCUAUCCAUCUGUUAGCCCGUGGAUUAAGUGUUGAUUCAUAGAGAUUGCCAGUAAUCAGCAAGAUCCUUAAACUUGCAUUUCAGACAGUGUCCCCUUCCUUCUAUUCAAUAAAGGUCCCUGCCUGUGAAUCAACCACGGUGGCAGGAUUAUCCCUUUCCUUUCCCCAGGUUUCAUCAGAGUCGGGCAGAGAUGGGGCAGUCUCUGGGGCCAAAGGGGACAAAGAGUCCGUGGACAAGCUGAGCCUUUCAAUAGCUUGAUAACCAGUAGUUCUGAAUCAUGCGAAGAACUCUGCCAAUAAGUUUCUUCUUUUCCUAGAACAGAGUCUGUGAAAUUUAGCAGAGCCCUUUGCAAGCCCUGCACAUCUGGCUGUCAGACCGAAAGACAGUGAGCUUCCUAACCGGAGAGUAUAAUCCCACUUUAGGUAUUUAUAAAUAUGCAACCUCCUAUUGGAAGAUCUACUGCCAAGAGCUAGUACCACCCUUGUUUUAAAAUCUCCACAAGGUAAAAUUUAAAAAGUACUAAGCAAAUUGCUGUCUAUUCUACUGCUAACUGGGGCCAAACAGCGUAUACUGCAGUAGUAACACAUUCUUUGAAGACUCUGUUUGCAUCUGCCUCCUCCAUGUGUUGAUUGAGAAUGUGUAAAACUUACUUACUAGUGUCAGACAAGAAAAGUGAAUCAGCUGGUAUUACUCUUUCAUUUCUUUUGUAAAGUAUUGUAAACUUCACUGACUCCAGAACCUUCAGUUAAAUGUGUGAUCUCUUAUGAUCAUAAAAUCAAAUAGGAUCAGACUAUUUUUGCAUUUUCUAGUACUUGAAUAUGACAUCUCAAAUUUGAGAUUUUAUUUUCUUUUAGAACACAGUCACAAGACUGAUCUGGUUAAUCCUUUUGUCACAGUUCUCGUGUGUGUGCGCGCGUGCGUGCUUGUAAGUGUAAUCUGAAUGGUAACAUUUAAUUGCUUUAUGGACCAUUGAAUUGUUGGGCAAUAAGUUUUUUAAUUGGCACAAGACAGUUUCUAAAUUGUCAAAUGAGCCAAUUUCGACCAGUCUUUUUAAACAGACUCAAGUGUGUGACUUUGGGCCAACUCCCCAGGGGACCAUAUUAAAUGAAAAAAAAAAAAAAAAAAUGCUCCUCUGGGUGUCAUACCCUGCAAAGUGUUUGCUAUUAUCCUGAACACAAAUGCCCACGUUCUUAAUAUCUGCUGUUUUUUGACAAGUGACGUUUUGUGCUGUCAUCUGAACCCUAGAGAAGCAGUGUAAGCAGAAACGCUGAUGUCGCCUGUGUUUUAGCAAAAGGGUCAUCAUUACAGAGGUUCACAUGACCAAAAGAAGCUCCAGAAACGCUUGAGAAGUAGCCUCAGGGUGUGGGGAGGGUUAGAGAUCUAAAACACUCUGCUCUACAGAAGUUUUCACCAUCUAUGCAGGAAAUUCCGUUUUCUCUUUCAACACCUGGGAAGACUUAGCAGCUUGCCAGGGCCAACAGGCCAUUCCCUUAAGCACAAGAGGGAUUUUUUCCAACCGAGGAGUCCCCUGCCUCUCAAACCACUGCCCUCCAAGUUUGUUAUGCUUUCUGUUCCUGCAACUCGUGGUAUCAAAACCACUUCCUGGAAUUGUAAAAGUGCUGCCAGAAUAAGUGUUAUUCCCCUUCUGAGAAAAAAAAUGGCAGUGCUCAUGUUGGACGCUUGUGCUGUGGGCUCUCUUUUGAAUGCAUAAAAAGGAAAGGGUUUGCUGUAAUUCUGAGGGGGUGUGUGUUGUUUUUCAUGCCACCGUUUGUGAAUUGUAAUUGUGGUUUCCCAGUUCAUUGUCAUAACUGGGCAGAAAUUUUAAAAAAUCCAAUAAAAAUAUAAAGAAAUGGUUAAGCAGUUA